UAAACACCGGCUCAGCAAAACUUAAGCCGGCCCUGCUGCCCCGCUCGUAGCGCGCUGGCUGCGCCGGCAGAUGCCGCCGCCUGCUGCGACCUAGCGGCGAAGCGCGCAACUACUUGGAGGGUAGGGCCGUUCCAGCCAAGACAGCUGAGAUCAUCCGCUGAUAAGGUGGGGUCAACACAUUAUGGAGGUUUGGAUUGCAGCUGUAAAGUAUAUAUUGCCCACUUAUCGCCACUUAUGCCAGCCCAAAGGAUAUAUUUCAAAUUGCAGAGUAUUGCUUUCACUACCCGUAAAUGAGUCUCCUGGACAUGCCUGUAGCAACUUUGCCAUGCGCAAACCUGAUUUUAAAUUAUUUCAAAAUACAAUUUCAUGAGUAACUACUGUUAAUAGUGUAGGAGAGCUGCUGAAAUACUAUGCCUUUCAACCCCUCUGUGUCACCUAGUGUAACUUCCUUACGGUUCCACCUGAGUUUUCAACAUUGUAUGUUCUUUUACUCAAAGAAUUUUGACAUAUUGAUAUAUCAAAGGGAAUUUGUAAUAAUGAUAAUAAAAUAAUGAAAACAU